rnacentral:rRNA from 1 species
GAUGAACGCUGGCGGCGUGCCUAAUACAUGCAAGUCGAGCGAAUGGAUUAAGAGCUUGCUCUUAUGAAGUUAGCGGCGGACGGGUGAGUAACACGUGGGUAACCUGCCCAUAAGACUGGGAUAACUCCGGGAAACCGGGGCUAAUACCGGAUAACAUUUUGAACCGCAUGGUUCGAAAUUGAAAGGUGGCUUCGGCUGUCACUUAUGGAUGGACCCGCGUCGCAUUAGCUAGUUGGUGAGGUAACGGCUCACCAAGCAACGAUGCGUAGCCGACCUGAGAGGGUGACCGGCCACACUGGGACUGAGACACGGCCCAGACUCCUACGGGAGGCAGCAGUAGGGAAUCUUCCGCAAUGGACGAAAGUCUGACGGAGCAACGCCGCGUGAGUGAUGAAGGCUUUCGGGUCGUAAAACUCUGUUGUUAGGGAAGAACAAGUGCUAGUUGAAUAAGCUGGCACCUUGUCGGUACCUAACCAGAAAGCCACGGCUAACUACGUGCCAGCCGCCGCAGUAA